AUUGAACGCUGGCGGCAUGCCUUACACAUGCAAGUCGAACGGCAGCACGGGAGCAAUCCUGGUGGCGAGUGGCGAACGGGUGAGUAAAGUAUCGGAACGUGCCCAGUCGUGGGGGGUAACGUAGCGAAAGUUACGCCAAUACCGCAUACGAUCUAUGGAUGAAAGCGGGGGAUCGCAAGACCUCGCGCGAUUGGAGCGGCCGAUAUCAGAUUAGGUAGUUGGUGGGGUAAAGGCUCACCAAGCCGACGAUCUGUAGCUGGUCUGAGAGGACGACCAGCCACACUGGGACUGAGACACGGCCCAGACUCCUACGGGAGGCAGCAGUGGGGAAUUUUGGACAAUGGGCGAAAGCCUGAUCCAGCCAUGCCGCGUGCAGGAUGAAGGCCUUCGGGUUGUAAACUGCUUUUGUACGGAACGAAAAGGUUUGGCCUAAUAAGCUGAGCUCAUGACGGUACCGUAAGAAUAAGCACCGGCUAACUACGUGCCAGCCGCCGCAGUAACAC
rnacentral:rRNA from 1 species